rnacentral:rRNA from 1 species
GAGUUUGAUCCUGGCUCAGGACUAACGCUGGCGGCAUGCAUCAUACAUGCAAGUCGAACGAUCGGCUUCCGGUGCUUGCAUCGGGAGUACGGAGUGGCGCACGGGUGAGUAACGCGUAGGUAACCUGCCUCACGGCCUGGGAUAGCCGGUCGAAAGAUCGAUUAAUACCGGAUACGACGGAGAGCUCUGCGGGGUUCUCCGGGAAAGGUGCUUCGGCAUCACCGCGAGAUGGGCUUGCGUACUAUUAGCUUGUUGGUGAGGUAACGGCCUACCAAGGCACUGAUGGGUAGCCGGCUUGAGAGAGUGAACGGCCACACUGGAACUGAGACACGGUCCAGACUCCUACGGGAGGCAGCAGUAGGGAAUCUUCCGCAAUGGGCGAAAGCCUGACGGAGCAAUGCCGCGUGAGGGAUGAAGGCCUUCGGGUCGUAAACCUCUGUCAUCGGGGAAGAAGGUUCAUCGGAGGUAAUGCCGGUGGAAUUGACGGUACCCGAGGAGGAAGUCACGGCUAAUUACGUGCCAGCAGCCGCGGUAAUACGUAAGUGGCAAACGAUGUCCGGAAUCACUGGGCGUAAAGCGCGCGUAGGCGGCCAGGUAAGUCUGAGGUGAAAUCCAGGGGCUCAACCCCUGAAUGGCCUUAGAAACUGUGGAGCUCGAGGAUGGGAAUCGGAUGCGGAAUUCCAGGUGUAGCGGUGAAAUGCGUAGAUAUCUGGAGGAACACCGGUGGCGAAGGCGGCAUCCUGGACCGAUCUUGACGCUGAGGAGCGAAAGCUAGGGGAGCAAACGGGAUUAGAUACCCCGGUAGUCCUAGCCCUAAACGAUGAAUGCUUGGUGUGGCGGGAUCCCUGCCGUGCCGGAGCUAACGCAUUAAGCAUUCCGCCUGGGGAGUACGGUCGCAAGGCUGAAACUCAAAGGAAUUGACGGGGGCCCGCACAAGCGGUGGAGCAUGUGGUUUAAUUCGACGCAACGCGAAGAACCUUACCCGGGCUUGAACUGCAAGUGAUCAUCGGUGAAAGCCGAUUUCCGCAAGGACACUUGUAGAUAGAGGUGCUGCAUGGCUGUCGUCAGCUCGUGUCGUGAGAUGUUGGGUUAAGUCCCGCAACGAGCGCAACCCUCGUGUUUAGUUACUAACGGUUCGGCCGAGGACUCUAGACAGACUGCCCGUUUUACGCGGGAGGAAGGUGGGGACGACGUCAAGUCAUCAUGCCCCUUACAUCCAGGGCUACACACGUGCUACAAUGGCGCAUACAGAGGGCUGCGAAGCGGUAACGCGAAGCCAACCCCUUAAAGCGCGCCCCAGUUCGGAUCGGGGACUGCAACUCGUCCCCGUGAAGGUGGAAUCGCUAGUAAUCGUAAAUCAGAAUGUUACGGUGAAUACGUUCCCGGGCCUUGUACACACCGCCCGUCACACCACCCGAGUCGGGUGCUCCCGAAGUCGCAUACCUAACCUUGUGAGGGAUGUGCCGAAGGAGUGCUUGGUAAGGGGGGUGAAGUCGUAACAAGGUA